CUUUAAGUGCAAGCCGUGGGCGUCCUUCCGCCUUUCGGCGGCUGUGAAGCUGGGGAGAUCCCGGCCGGGCGGAGGACGUCGGAUCUCGUUCCCUCAAGAGCGUCGACUCACCCCUGAAGGCCCUCAAUAAAAUGGCUUGAUCCUAA